rnacentral:rRNA from 1 species
GUGGGGAAUAUUGCGCAAUGGAGGCAACUCUGACGCAGCCAUGCCGCGUGCAGGAAGAAGGCGCUACGCGUUGUAAACUGCUUUUAACCGGGAAGAAACCCCAGGACGUGUCCUGGGUUGACGGUACCGGAGGAAUAAGCACCGGCUAACUUCGUGCCAGCAGCCGCGGUAAUACGAAGGGUGCAAGCGUUAUCCGGAUUCAUUGGGUUUAAAGGGUGCGUAGGCGGAGCGUUAAGUCAGUGGUUAAAUCCUGCAGCUUAACUGUAGACUUGCCAUGGAUACUGGCGCUCUUGAGUGCGCUUGAAGUGGGCGGAAUGUGCCGUGUAGCGGUGAAAUGCUUAGAUAUGGCACAGAACACCAAUUGCGAAGGCAGCUCACUAAGGCGAUACUGACGCUGAGGCACGAAAGCGUGGGGAUCGAACAGGAUUAGAAACCCUUGUAGUCC